rnacentral:rRNA from 1 species
GACGAACGCUGGCGGCGUGCUUAACACAUGCAAGUCGAACGGAAAGGCCCUGCUUUUGUGGGGUGCUCGAGUGGCGAACGGGUGAGUAACACGUGAGUAACCUGCCCUUGACUUUGGGAUAACUUCAGGAAACUGGGGCUAAUACCGGAUAGGAGCUCCUGCUGCAUGGCGGGGGUUGGAAAGUUUCGGCGGUUGGGGAUGGACUCGCGGCUUAUCAGCUUGUUGGUGGGGUAGUGGCUUACCAAGGCUUUGACGGGUAGCCGGCCUGAGAGGGUGACCGGCCACAUUGGGACUGAGAUACGGCCCAGACUCCUACGGGAGGCAGCAGUGGGGAAUAUUGCACAAUGGGCGGAAGCCUGAUGCGGCAACGCCGCGUGCGGGAUGACGGCCUUCGGGUUGUAAACCGCUUUCGCCUGUGACGAAGCGUGAGUGACGGUAAUGGGUAAAGAAGCACCGGCUAACUACGUG